CCAAAGGCUCUUUUCAGAGCCACCCACUUCCUCUAUGAAAGAGCUG
rfam:Anolis carolinensis unplaced genomic scaffold chrTn0060, whole genome shotgun sequence.